CGCUUUGGCGUUUUUUUGAGGAUAAUAACGGCGUGGGGCACGGAGGGAAAUGCUGCGGUUGACUUCCGGCUGGAAAUAAAGCGAGUACUAGGAAUUGAACCCAGGGACAUUUCGCCCCUGAGCUACAUCAACCUCUUCUGGAUUUUUAUCUUAUGAAUGUGGCGGUCAGCUGGUUCUUGUGUAUCCAUACUGGGCAAAGCUGCAACCACGUGUACUGAGAGACCCAGACUGUUGCUGAGGGCCCUUUACUGUCAUCCCUUGGACUGGCAUCUGAACACCUCCCACAGUUGACCUUUUUUUUUUCUGACAACGUGUGAGAUGUGAGAGUGGAAGCACGCCGGAAAAGGAGCGCGCGGUGUGUGCACAGGCUGCUGCAGUGCUUCAUAAACGUGAGAGGGACCUGGUGUGUGUGGUUUCCUCGUGAAGAUGGGCUCCUGGAACACUCAGACUUGGUUGAAUUUUGCUGUGCUUGUUUAAAAUGUUUGCAGAGUUGCCUUUGAAACUAAUAAACAUAUGUCAUUUCUACUGGAA